rnacentral:lncRNA from 1 species
UCCCAGGACAUGCAACUAACUUUACGAAUUCGUCGGAACACGCAGUGUCAGCAGCGGACGAAUUCUUUCACUACCGCGUUCUGGAGAUCUCCCCAAACAUCGACGAACCAAAUGGCUUCGUGUGGCCUAUCGUGAAUACAACGCUCUUCGUCUGGACUUUUGUAUUUCUCUGUGUAUUCAGAGGUGUUAAAGUCGUCGGAAAGGUCGUGUGGUUCACCUCAUCCUUCCCGUUUCUCAUGCUGAUCAUCCUGUU